UUUGAUCAUGGCUCAGGACGAACGCUGGCGGCGUGCUUAACACAUGCAAGUCGAGCGAGAUCCAACCAGUGGCAACACUGGGGAAGAUCUAGCGGCGAACGGGUGAGUAACACGUGAGCAACCUGCCCCGAAGACUGGGAUAACACCGGGAAACCGGUGCUAAUACCGGAUAUCCCCACGAGUUCGCAUGUUCUUGUGAGGAAAUGAAUUUCGCUUUGGGAGGGGCUCGCGGGCUAUCAGCUUGUUGGUGGGGUAACGGCCUACCAAGCCUACGACGCUUAGCUGGUCUGAGAGGAUGGUCAGCCACAUUGGAACUGAGACACUGUCCAGACUCCUACGGGAGGCUGCAGUCGAGAAUCUUGGUCAAUGCACGAAAGUGUGAACCAGCGACGCCGCGUGGAGGAUGAAGGCCCUUGGGUCGUAAACUCCUUUUAGAAGGGAAGAACGCCGCUUAGCGGUCUGACGGUACCUUCUGAAUAAGCCACGGCUAACUACGUGCCAGCAGCCGCGGUAAUACGUAGGUGGCAAGCGUUGUCCGGAUUUACUGGGCGUAAAGGGUGCGCAGGCGGACCUUUAAGUAGAAAGUGAAAGGUUGGAGCUCAACUCCAACAUUGCUUUCUAUACUGGAGGUCUUGAGUGCUGGAGAGGAAAGCGGAACGACACGUGUAGCGGUGAAAUGCGUUGAUAUGUGUCGGAACACCAAUGGCGAAGGCAGCUUUCUGGACAGUUACUGACGCUCAGGCACGAAAGCCAA
rnacentral:rRNA from 1 species